rnacentral:rRNA from 1 species
AGCAGCCGCGGUAAUUCCAGCUCCAAUAGCGUAUAUUAAAGUUGUUGCAGUUAAAAAGCUCGUAGUUGAAUUUCGGAAUCCAUCCGUCGGUCGGGCUUCACGGUCCGCACUGGUGUGAUGGAUUCCUACCUUCUGAAUAACCAGCAUGUCAUUAAUUUGGUGCGUUGGGGAAGCAGGACUGUUACCUUGAAAAAAUUGAGUGCUUAAAGCAGGCUAGUGCCUGGAUACAUUAGCAUGGAAUAAUGAAAUAGGACGGCAUGGUUCUAUUUUGUUGGUUUCUAGGAUCACCGUAAUGAUUAAUAGGGAUAGUUGGGGGCAUUAGUAUUCAAUUGUCAGAGGUGAAAUUCUUGGAUUUAUUGAAGACUAACUUCUGCGAAAGCAUUUGCCAAGGAUGUUUCAUUAAUCAAGACGAAAGUUAGGGGAUCGAAGACGAUCAGAUACCGUCGUAGUCUUAACCAUAAACUAUGACCGACUAGGGAUCGGACGAUGUUAAAUUUUUANGUACUUC